UACGUAGGUGGCAAGCGUUGUCCGGAAUUACUGGGCGUAAAGCGUGCGCAGGCGGUUCGUUAAGUCAGAUGUGAAAGCCCCGGGCUCAACCUGGGAACUGCAUUUGAAACUGGCGGGCUUGAGUGUGGCAGAGGGGGGUGGAAUUCCGCGUGUAGCAGUGAAAUGCGUAGAGAUGCGGAGGAACACCGAUGGCGAAGGCAGCCCCCUGGGCCAACACUGACGCUCAGGCACGAAAGCGUGGGGAGCAAACAGG
rnacentral:rRNA from 1 species